rnacentral:piRNA from 1 species
UGAACCUGCGUGUCCAGUUCAAGUCAAAAC